GGCAUGCUACAGACUAUAAUGCAGUCGACGAACUUCCGUUAAUUGAUUAUGACGUACUUGUACUGAUUGAGAUUUUAACACGAAGUGAGUGGCGAACGGGUGAGUAACACGUGGGUAACCUGCCCAGAAGUAGGGGAUAACACCUGGAAACAGAUGCUAAUACCGUAUAACAGAGAAAACCGCAUGGUUUUCUUUUAAAAGAUGGCUCUGCUAUCACUUCUGGAUGGACCCGCGGCGUAUUAGCUAGUUGGUGAGGUAAAGGCUCACCAAGGCAGUGAUACGUAGCCGACCUGAGAGGGUAAUCGGCCACAUUGGGACUGAGACACGGCCCAGACUCCUACGGGAGGCAGCAGUAGGGAAUCUUCCACAAUGGACGCAAGUCUGAUGGAGCAACGCCGCGUGAGUGAAGAAGGGUUUCGGCUCGUAAAGCUCUGUUGUUAAAGAAGAACGUGGGUAAGAGUAACUGUUUACCCAGUGACGGUAUUUAACCAGAAAGCCACGGCUAACUACGUGCCAGCAGCCGCGGUAAUACGUAGGUGGCAAGCGUUAUCCGGAUUUAUUGGGCGUAAAGCGAGCGCAGGCGGUCUUUUAAGUCUAAUGUGAAAGCCUUCGGCUCAACCGAAGAAGUGCAUUGGAAACUGGGAGACUUGAGUGCAGAAGAGGACAGUGGAACUCCAUGUGUAGCGGUGAAAUGCGUAGAUAUAUGGAAGAACACCAGUGGCGAAGGCGGCUGUCUGGUCUGCAACUGACGCUGAGGCUCGAAAGCAUGGGUAGCGAACAGGAUUAGAUACCCUGGUAGUCCAUGCCGUAAACGAUGAUUACUAGGUGUUGGAGGGUUUCCGCCCUUCAGUGCUGCAGCUAACGCAUUAAAGUAAUCCGCCUGGGGGAGUACGACCGCAAAGGUUGAAACUCAAAAAGAAUUUGACGGGGGCCCGCACAAGCGGGUGAGCAUGUGUUUAUUCGAAGCUACGCGAAGAACCUUACCAGGUCUGACAUCUGUCUGAACAGUCUAAGAAGAAUAAA
rnacentral:rRNA from 1 species